GUUGGGCGUGGUGGCUCACGCCUGUAAUUCCAGCACUUUGGGAGACUGAGGUGGGUGGAUCACCUGAGGUCAGGAGUUCGUGACCAGCCUGGUCAACAUGGUGAAAACCUAUCUCUA
ensembl:misc_RNA Metazoa_SRP Metazoan signal recognition particle RNA